GUGGAAGAAGGUGAUACAUGACUGCUGGUGGAGGACCUGUGGCUGCUGGUGGCGGAAGAGGACAUGUGACUACUAGUGAUGGGAGGUGAUGCGUUGUUGAUGGUGGCCGUCCAUACACUAGUUGACUCCAUAGUUGAUACCUUAGUUGGUUAGCUAGCGGGAUUGAUUUAAUAAGUCUAAUAUUCCAAUGAUGCAUGGCUUAUGUUAUGCUCAUUUUGGAUGGACCAGGACCACCUUCCAAAAUCUAAAUAAGUUACCCAAACACGGCACUUGAUAGAAGCCAAGAAAAAUGCACUACCAAAGACUCUUUAUGAAAUUGAUUCUUAUUCCAAAUUUCUAAUUUGAUAACUGGCAUGACCAAAAUUAAAUCCUCUUACUGACGUUCUAUAUACUGAUACAAAUUAUUCAAUAUUCAACAUGAUAAAUCUCCCCUGAAGUAGAAGACAA